UAUUCCAAUUUGGCGGCUAUUCAUCCCUUUCCUCUCUCUUUCCUCCUUCACCUCUUCACUUCUCAGUUCUCGCUUUCCUCCGUUACAUAUACUUCUACUUUUCUCAAUUUACUUUUUCUUUUUUUCCUGUUUUCGAUUUUUGUUGUUGUUUACCUCGAAUCGCAAUCUCUCAAGUUUUUGGAACUAGUGAUCUUAGUAGAUAGUCUUUUUAGUGGACUUGAGGUUGAAAAAGGUGCGAACUUGGAGAUGGCGGAGAGUCGACGAUACGCGCUUGGUGCUCAAUUAGAUAUUGAGCAGAUACUGUUAGAAGCACAACAUCGAUGGUUACGUCCUGCUGAAAUUUGUGAAAUCCUGCGAAACUACCAAAAGUUUCGAAUUGCUCCAGAGCCUCCAAAUAGGCCUCCAAGUGGUUCGCUCUUUCUCUUUGAUCGGAAGGUUUUACGUUAUUUUCGAAAAGAUGGCCAUAAUUGGAGGAAAAAGAAGGAUGGGAAAACUGUGAAGGAAGCUCAUGAAAGGCUUAAGGCAGGAAGUAUUGAUGUUUUACAUUGUUACUAUGCCCAUGGAGAGGAUGAUGAAAAUUUUCAGAGACGCAGCUAUUGGAUGCUUGAAGAGGAGCUCUCACACAUAGUUCUUGUCCACUACCGAGAAGUAAAGGGGAACAGAACUAAUUAUAACCGCGUUAGAGAGAUUGGAGAAGCCAUUCCUAAUGCCCAAGAAAGUGAAGAUGAUGCCCCCAAUUCUGAAUUUAACAGUAAUUCAACCUCAAAAUUCCAUUCCUACGGUUAUCAAGUCACUUCACAAAUUACAGAUACGGUUAGCCUUAACAGCGCCCAGGCCUCAGAGUAUGAGGAUGCUGAAUCAGCAUACACUCAACAGUCAACUUCUGGGUUCCACACUUUUCUUGAGAUACAACCGCCUGUGUUGCAAAAGGCGGAAGAUGGAUAUCAAGGACAAUUUUCAGGUGUUCCUGAUGUUAAUUUUGCCUCCAUUCCGCAAGGAGAAAAAGAUCAGAGCACUACAGGUGCUGGGUUGUCAUAUAUGCCGGAAGGACACCUUGACUUCCCAUCUUGGGGCAAUGUCUUGGACAGCAGGAAUGGAGGAUAUCAGUCUGUCAAUUUUCAGCCAUCAGUUUCUGCAACUCAACAUGGUACCAUAAAUGUAAUGCCUGGAGGUAUGAAUGACAUUCUUGGGCAAGCUUUAACUGAUGGCUUAGGCAAGAGGCAGGACUCUGAUGCCCAUGUAGGUGGCUUGGAACAGUGGCAGACUUCCGAAGUUGAUGCCUCAAGCUUGUCCAAGUGUCACAUGGAUCAGAAGUUGAACCUGCCGUCAGGCCGUAAUCUCAGUACUAGCUUUAAUGAAGUUAACAACGCGGAGUUGCCAAAUUCCUCCGAGACAUUCAGUAUGCAUAAAUCUCCCAUAGAGACUGAUGUUCAAGUAGAUCUUAUCAGGGCAGAUAGUGGAAUUUCUGCUAAAUCUGCAUUCAAUGGGAAUCUUGGCAUUGAAGGAAAAGCUGAGUAUCCAACCUUGAGACAACCUUUAUUAGAUGGUGUUCUCAAAGAAGGUCUUAAGAAGCUCGACAGCUUUGACCGUUGGAUGAGCAGAGAACUUGGGGAUGUGAAUGAAUCACAUAUACAAUCUAGCUCUGGAACCUAUUGGGAGACUGUUGGAAAUGAUGAUGGAUUAGGUGAUUCUAAUAUAGCUCCCCAAGUACACAUAGAUUCAUACAUGAUGAGCCCCUCUAUUGCGCAGGACCAAUUAUUUAGCAUCAUUGAUUUUUCACCAAACUGGGCAUAUUCUGGUUCAGAAAUGAAGGUACUAAUUAUGGGAAGGUUCUUAAAGAGCCAAGAAGAGUUGGGAAAGUACAAAUGGGCAUGUAUGUUUGGUGAAGUAGAAGUUCAGGCAGAGGUUAUUGCAAAUGGUGCUUUACGUUGCCUUACCCCUUUGCAUGAAGCUGGGAGGGUGCCAUUUUAUGUGACAUGCUCCAAUAGGUUAGCAUGCAGUGAAGUGCGAGAAUUUGAAUUUCGGGUUAGCAAUGUUAAAGAUGAUGAUGUUGCUUUGUUGACUAGUGGAAUUAUUGAUGAAUGUCAUCUUCUUACGAGAUUUGGAAAGUUGUUAACCACUGGAUCUCAUAAUUACCAAGAUACUGUACCUGGCAUUAUGGAUCAACUAUCCACCUUGAGAAGUAAAAUUGAGUCAUUGGUGAUUAAUGACAACAAUGAAUGGGAAGGGAUGCUUAAUCUUACUCUGGAGGAAUUCUCUGUGGACAAAGUAAAGGAUCAGCUUCUGGUAAAGCUUCUUAAAGACCGCCUCUAUCUUUGGCUCCGCCAGAAAGUAGCUGAAGGUGGUAAAGGCCCUAGCAUGUUGGAUGAGGGUGGUCAAGGGGUACUGCAUCUUGCUGCUGCCCUAGGUUAUGAUUGGGCUUUAUCCCCUACAAUAGCAGCAGGAGUUAGCGUCAACUUCCGAGAUUUAAAUGGAUGGACUGCACUUCAUUGGGCAGCAUCUUUUGGAAGGGAGCGGACAGUGGCUUUACUUAUCUCGUUAGGUGCAAGUCCAGGAGCAUUAACAGAUCCUACUCCUAAAUAUCCUUCAGGAAUACCUCCUGCUGAACUUGCAUCGAACAAUGGCCAUAAGGGGAUUGCUGGUUAUCUUGCCGAAUCUACAUUGAGCUCCCAUCUCUCAUCACUUAAAGUAAAGGAUGAUAAGGAGGGUUAUAAGGAUGAUAAGGCGGAUUAUAAUGGAGAAGGUUCCGGGGCAAAUGUUGUACAAACAGCUUCAGAGCGAACUGCAACUCCUAUUGCAGAUGGUGACUUGCCUGUGCUGUCUUUGAAGGACUCGUUAGCUGCUGUCCGCAAUGCAACUCAAGCUCAUGCCCGCAUACAUCAAGUUUUUAGGGUGCAGUCAUUCCAAAGAAAGCAGCAAAAUGAAUAUGGUAGUAGCGGGCUUGGGAUUUCAGAUGAACGUGCUCUUUCACUUCUUUCUGCGAAAACAAAGCGGGCAGGACAACGUGAUGAGCCAGUGCAUGCUGCUGCAACACAAAUACAGAACAAAUUUCGUAGUUGGAAGGGUAGAAAAGAAUUUCUUCAAAAGCGACAGCAAAUUAUUAAAAUCCAGGCCCAUGUAAGAGGACACCAAGUUAGGAAGAAUUACAGGAGUAUAAUCUGGUCAGUUGGAAUUCUAGAGAAGGUAAUUCUGCGCUGGAGAAGGAAAGGAAGUGGAUUGCGUGGAUUCAAACCAGAAGCACCUCCUGUGGAAACUAGCAUACAAGGUAGCUCAUCGAAAGAGGAUGAUUAUGAUUUCCUGAAAGAAGGUAGAAAGCAAACUGAGAACCAAUUGCAGAAGGCUCUUGCUCGGGUUAAAUCAAUGGUCCAGUAUCCAGAGGCAAGAGAUCAAUACAGGAGGCUCCUGAAUGUUGUCUCAGACAUGCAGGAAACCAAGGCUGUGUAUGAUAGGGCCCUAGAUAAUUCAGAUGAAGCUGCUGAUUUCGAUGAAGACCUAAUUGACCUUGAUGCUUUGUUAGACGAUGAUCCUUUAAUGUGAACAGUAUCUUAACCCCUUUCUCAUUAGGUUGGCGAUGAUGUAAAUCUGGUUAGAUUGGUAAUCCUCCGUUAACAGUUGCUGAUGGGUAAGAAAGAGGUAGUGAUACUCUGGAGAUUACUUGAAGAAUUGACUUUGAUUGAGUUAUGCACUAGCCUUGGGUCAGACAUUACACAAACUCACUAUUCACUUUUGCAUUCAAAUGCAAAAUCCGUGAAACGAAAUUUGAUCUGAUUAAUAUAUUGGAAUGACUGCCUUGUGGUCGGUCCUCUAGUGUUCUGAAUUUGUGGGUAGUUUACUCAAGGACGCAGGUAAAGAAA